GGGGCUGUUUGGAUUUGACAGCGGGCAGAAAUGGUACGUAAGCAUGCGGAGUCUCGUCGGCUAACUCCAUAAUCAUAGUGGACAAAAAAUUAAUUGGCGAAAACAACUACGCUCUCGCUGCCUAAUCGAAGUACAGUAGAUUACUGGCUUUAUCCAGUCACAAGGUGACAGGACGAGACAUCGCUCAACCGGAUGUUGUUCCGAAUCGGGUUGGCCAAGCGGUGCAGGUAAAUCGGGAAUAGUCUCUGGCAGCCUCGUGCCGGGGAUGAAAUUUUAGAGGAUAAGGCUUCAGUUGGUGGUCCUGGUCUUGCUGUAAGCUCGAAAACCGAAGGCAGGAAUAAGCAUGUAGAAAGCGUAUGGUUUCCCUGUGUGGACGAGGGUUCGACUCCCUCCAGCUCCACUG
rnacentral:tmRNA from 1 species